CGCACAUUGCGCCCACCAGUAUUCUGGUGGGCAUGCCUGUCUGAGCGUCAUUUCAACCCUCGCACCCGGCGUCUGUCGGGGGCGGUGUUGGGGAUCGGCCCCCCUGGAAACAGGGGGCCGUCCCCUAAAUCGAGUGGCGACCACGCCGUAGCCUCCUCUGCGUAGUACUUACACCUCGCGGGCGGAGAGCGGUGCGGUCCGCCGUAAAACCCCCAACUCUUCUCAGGUUGACCUCAGAUCAGGUAGGAAUACCCGCUGAACUUAA
rnacentral:misc_RNA from 1 species